GCACCUUUAGCUCAGUUGGUAGAGCAACUGACUCUUAAUCAGUGGGUCCAGAGUUCGAGUCUCUGAAGGUGUACCA
rnacentral:tRNA from 1 species